CGGGAUGAAGGGGAUGAGGUGCCCCGCCUGCCUUGGGAGCAGGAGACACGCGGUUCGAGUCCGUGCGUCCCGAC
rnacentral:tRNA from 1 species